rnacentral:rRNA from 1 species
UGCCAGCAGCCGCGGUAAUACGAAGGGCCCGAGCGUUAAUCGGAAUCACUGGGCUUAAAGCGUACGCAGGCGGACAUGAAGGCAUCUUGUGAAAGCCCUCGGCUCAACCGAGGAAUUGCUUGGUGAACCACAUGUCUUGAGCCAAGUAGGGGCUGUCGGAACGCUAGGUGGAGUGGUGAAAUGCGUUGAUAUCUAGCGGAACGCCAAAGGAGAAAUCAGGCAGCUGGGCUUGGUCUGACGCUGAGGUACGAAAGCGUGGGGAGCGAACGGGAUUAGAUA